rnacentral:misc_RNA from 1 species
UUAUAUCCAGAACUCACAGCCCAACCUGAACAACCUGACUGCUGUGGGCUGCUCACUGGCUUUAGCUGCUGUCUUCCCCCUGGGGCUCGAUGGUUACCACAUUGGGAGGAACCAGUUCCCUUUCGUCUGCCAGGCCCGCCUCUGGCUCCUGGGCCUGGGCUUUAGUCUGGGCUACGGUUCCAUGUUCACCAAGAUUUGGUGGGUCCACACGGUCUUCACAAAGAAGGAAGAAAAGAAGGAGUGGAGGAAGACUCUGGAACCCUGGAAGCUGUAUGCCACAGUGGGCCUGCUGGUGGGCAUGGAUGUCCUCACUCUCGCCAUCUGGCAGAUCGUGGACCCUCUGCACCGGACCAUUGAGACAUUUGCCAAGGAGGAACCUAAGGAAGAUAUUGACGUCUCUAUUCUGCCCCAGCUGGAGCAUUGCAGCUCCAGGAAGAUGAAUACAUGGCUUGCUGUGAUGGGAGUCGAGUGCAUUUGCUUUAUAAGUGAGGGUAGGGUGAGGGAGGACAGGCCAGUAGGGGGAGGGAAAGGGAGAGGGGAAGGGCAGGGGACUCAGGAAGCAGGGGGUCCCCAUCCCCAGCUGGGAAGAACAUGCUAUCCAAUCUCAUCUCUUGUAAAUACAUGUCCCCCUGUGAGUUCUGGGCUGAUUUGGGUCUCUCAUACCUCUGGGAAACAGACCUUUUUCUCUCUUACUGCUUCAUGUAAUUUUGUAUCACCUCUUCACAAUUUAGUUCGUACCUGGCUUGAAGCUGCUCACUGCUCACACGCUGCCUCCUCAGCAGCCUCACUGCAUCUUUCUCUUCCCAUGCAACACCCUCUUCUAGUUACCACGGCAACCCCUGCAGCUCCUCUGCCUUUGUGCUCUGUUCCUGUCCAGCAGGGGUCUCCCAACAAGUGCUCUUUCCACCCCAAAGGGGCCUCUCCUUUUCUCCACUGUCAUAAUCUCUUUCCAUCUUACUUGCCCUUCCAUACUUUCUCACAUGUGGCUCCCCCUGAAUUUUGCUUCCUUUGGGAGCUCAUUCUUUUCGCCAAGGCUCACAUGCUCCUUGCCUCUGCUCUGUGCACUCACGCUCAGCACACAUGCAUCCUCCCCUCUCCUGCGUGUGCCCACUGAACAUGCUCAUGUGUACACACGCUUUUCCCGUAUGCUUUCUUCAUGUUCAGUCACAUGUGCUCUCGGGUGCCCUGCAUUCACAGCUACGUGUGCCCCUCUCAUGGUCAUGGGUCUGCCCUUGAGCGUGUUUGGGUAGGCAUGUGCAAUUUGUCUAGCAUGCUGAGUCAUGUCUUUCCUAUUUGCACACGUCCAUGUUUAUCCAUGUACUUUCCCUGUGUACCCUCCAUGUACCUUGUGUACUUUCUUCCCUUAAAUCAUGGUAUUCUUCUGACAGAGCCAUAUGUACCCUACCCUGCACAUUGUUAUGCACUUUUCCCCAAUUCAUGUUUGGUGGGGCCAUCCACACCCUCUCCUUGUCACAGAAUCUCCAUUUCUGCUCAGAUUCCCCCCAUCUCCAUUGCAUUCAUGUACUACCCUCAGUCUACACUCACAAUCAUCUUCUCCCAAGACUGCUCCCUUUUGUUUUGUGUUUUUUUGAGGGGAAUUAAGGAAAAAUAAGUGGGGGCAGGUUUGGAGAGCUGCUUCCAGUGGAUAGUUGAUGAGAAUCCUGACCAAAGGAAGGCACCCUUGACUGUUGGGAUAGACAGAUGGACCUAUGGGGUGGGAGGUGGUGUCCCUUUCACACUGUGGUGUCUCUUGGGGAAGGAUCUCCCCGAAUCUCAAUAAACCAGUGAACAGUGUGACUCGG